rnacentral:tRNA from 1 species
UGAUGCGGUGGCUCAAUGGCAGAGCUUUUGAUUCCAAAUCAAAGGGUUGCAGGUUCGAUUCCUGUCCGUGUCAGC